rnacentral:pre_miRNA from 1 species
UUAUCUAAACUUUGUAUGGAGUUGGAACGCUUGCCUACGUUUGCCGCUAGGGGCGCUGUUCCAACGCCGUACAAAGAGUUA